GUACACGCUGUGACUAGCAUAUCAAUAAGCGGAGGAAAAGAAACUAACUAGGAUUCCCUCAGUAACGGCGAGUGAAGCGGGAAGAGCUCAAAUUUGAAAUCUUCAAGGUUCUACCUUGACGAAUUGUAGUUUAAAGAAGUGUUUUCUGUUGGAGUUUUGGUAAAAGUUCUUUGGAAUAGGACAUCAUAGAGGGUGAGAAUCCCGUAUUUGACCAUUAUUUCCAGCUUUGUGAUACACUUUCAAAGAGUCGGAUUGUUUGGGAAUGCAGUCCAAAAUGGGUGGUAAAUUUCAUCUAAAGCCUAAAUACUGGCGAGAGACCGAUAGCGAACAAGUACCGUGAGGGAAAGAUGAAAAGAACUUUGAAAAGAGAGUUAAACAGUACGUGAAAUUGUCAAAAGGGAAGCGUUUGACACCAGUGUUGUUUUCUCGAAAAUCAAUUAAAAAAGGCAGGAUUUUGUGUUGUAUUGACUUUAUCAGCUUUCUGCACUCUUUUCUUGUCUUUUUUAAUGCACUUUUCGUUUAACAAGUCAACAUCAAUUUCUUUUGUUGUAAAAGGGUCAUUGGAAGGUGGCUUUCUUUUCGGAGAAAGUGUUUAUAGCCUUUGGCCUCUGCAAUCGGAGAGAUUGAGGUCUGCAGCGUAGAUCCUUCGGGGUUAGAUACAUUUGUGCUAAGUUAUAGCCUUUCAUAGACAACUUGUUGACUAUGAUCAGUCAUGUAGCUUACUCGCUUAUGCUAUUUUACCUACGCUUAGGAUGUUGAAGACUCUACAGAGAU
rnacentral:rRNA from 1 species